GAUGAGAAAGUACCUAAACAUCUGGGUCGGGGUGGCUUCUGAGGGUCACUUGCUUUCGUGUUUUUACUGGCCUUGGGGUACUUGGCACGGGAGCACUUGUGUUAGCUCGAGAGUGGGGUGUAUGGUUCAAACACCUUGGGUGGAUAAGGCUCAGGCAACUGGAAAGGGCAGGGCUCCAGAACCUGGGCAGGCAGUUGGCGAGGAACUUUGUUACAGCUGCUGUUGUUAUCUCCCUAGAUUGCAGAUAAAAUUUUUUUUAAAAAGAUGAAGUAAUUGAGACUGAGACAAUAUUAGUGAAGGAAAAAAUUAUCCCAAAGGGGAGAAGCACCCUCUCUUAUCACCUCUUCCUCUAGUAUCAGCGGCAACAUGUCCCCACUGAACUUCUUCCCAGGACCGCUCACCCGACAAGGGCCUCCGUAGAACAUGGCUUCCCACAAGGUGGCCCUGCGCUGGACUGUCCCACCGAUGGCUCUGGGGCUGCCCCCCAGGGCCUGCUGCCUGUGUUCUGUCCUUUGAACAUUCUCACGCUGCAUGGAGGCAGGGGACAGGAAAAAUUUUACAGGAGGUUCUGGCUAGAGCUACACACCAUGAAAAAAAUCCAGAAGACUGAAUUAGAAAAUUGUCAUUAUUUGCAGAAAAUGGAAUGAUGCAAGUAAACAACAUCAAGAAGACAGAAAAACACUUAGAAGCAAUAAAGCUUGUAAAAAUCAUAAAAUACCCAAGA